UACGUAGGGUGCGAGCGUUAAUCGGAAUUACUGGGCGUAAAGCGUGCGCAGGCGGUCUGUUAAGACCGAUGUGAAAUCCCCGGGCUUAACCUGGGAACUGCAUUGGUGACUGGCAGGCUUUGAGUGUGGCAGAGGGAGGUAGAAUUCCACGUGUAGCAGUGAAAUGCGUAGAGAUGUGGAGGAAUACCGAUGGCGGAAGGCAGCCCCCUGGGGCCAAUACUGACGCUCAUGCACGAAAGCGUGGGGAGCAAACAGG
rnacentral:rRNA from 1 species